GGAAAGGCGCGCGAUACAGGGUGACAGCCCCGUACACAAAAAUGCACAUGCUGUGAGCUCGAUGAGUAGGGCGGGACACGUGGUAUCCUGUCUGAAUAUGGGGGGACCAUCCUCCAAGGCUAAAUACUCCUGACUGACCGAUAGUGAACCAGUACCGUGAGGGAAAGGCGAAAAGAACCCCGGCGAGGGGAGUGAAAAAGAACCUGAAACCGUGUACGUACAAGCAGUGGGAGCACGCUUAGGCGUGUGACUGCGUACCUUUUGUAUAAUGGGUCAGCGACUUAUAUUCUGUAGCAAGGUUAACCGAAUAGGGGAGCCGAAGGGAAACCGAGUCUUAACUGGGCGUUAAGUUGCAGGGUAUAGACCCGAAACCCGGUGAUCUAGC
rnacentral:rRNA from 1 species